CUAUUGAUGACUUACGCAACUACUCUCGAAGGCCGAGAAGUUCUAAACUGCCAAACAGCCCGUUCAUAACUGUCAAAUCGCGUUUGUCAUACAUUCUUAGUUCUGCCUUUUCCAUCCUCUAAGUUCUGCCCCGUUAACGCCUUCUUUAACAAUUUUGUCUUCCGGUAGCAAAGGCCUUGGCCGGAAAGAAGUCGCAUGGUCCAAAAGUGACAAACUUUUGCGUGUUCAUUUUUUGAAAGGAAUGCAAACAUUUCCGAGCAUGUUUUAGAAAAGUUAUUUAUAUUCUACACUUCGAAUACAGCUGGUCUAAUGUUUGGUGUAAAUUUCAACAGGUUGCUACACUAGAAAAGAUUGGAAAGUUGGAGUGGCUUGAUAAGAAAGGCAAGCGCAGUUUGAGAGACCUAAAUAUUUAUUACGUUUAGCAUAGGACUGCGAUGGGCUAAUAAAGAUGAUAAUGCUUUG